rnacentral:rRNA from 1 species
GGACGACGCUGGCGGCGUGCUUAACACAUGCAAGUGGAGCGACGAACCGGGGCUUGCCCCGGGGCAGAGCCGCGAACGGGUGAGUAACACGUGGGUAACCUGCCUCAAUGAUUGGGACAACCCGGGGAAACUCGGGCUAAUACCAAAUGUGUUCACUCCUUCUAAGGGGAGUGAGGAAAGGAAGCUUCGGCCUCCGCAUUGAGAUGGGCCCGCGGCCCAUUAGCUUGUUGGUGAGGUAACGGCUCACCAAGGCUUCGAUGGGUAGCUGGUCUGAGAGGACGAUCAGCCACACUGGGACUGAGACACGGCCCAGACUCCUACGGGAGGCAGCAGUGGGGAAUCUUGCACAAUGCGCGAAAGCGUGAUGCAGCAACGCCGCGUGGGGAAGACGGCCUUCGGGUUGUAAACCCCUUUCAGUUGGGACGAAGCUUCGUCGGUGAAUAGCCGGUUGGAGUGACGGUACCUUCAGAAGAAGCCCCGGCUAACUACGUG